rnacentral:rRNA from 1 species
AACGAACGCUGGCGGCAGGCCUUACACAUGCAAGUCGAACGUGAAAGUCCUUCGGGAUGAGUAAAGUGGCGCACGGGUGAGUAACGCGUGGGAACGUACCCUUCAGUACGGGAUAACAGCGGGAAACUGCUGCUAAUACCGUAUAUUCUCGAGAGAGGAAAGAUUUAUCGCUGAAGGAUCGGCACGCGUCAGAUUAGCUAGUUGGUGGGGUAAUGGCCUACCGAGGCGACGAUCUGUAGCUGGUCUGAGAGGAUGAUCAGCGACACUGGAACUGAGACACGGUCCAGACUCCUACGGGAGGCGGCAGUGGGGAAUAUUGGACAAUGGGCGAAAGCCUGAUCCAGCCAUGCCGCGUGAAUGAUGAAGGCCUUAGGGUUGUAAAGUUCUUUUGACGGGGAAGAUAAUGACGGUACCCGUAGAAUAAGCUCCGGCUAACUUCGUGCCAGCCGCCGCCGUAA